GUUAAGUCAAAAUGGAAUCGUUUCCGUUGUCCUCCUCCUCCUCCUCGGCCUACGUGGUGAGAGAUAACCCUCUCGAGAGCUAGAGAGAGAGAGAGAGAGAGAGAGAGAGAGAUGGGGUUGCGGAGGCGGCGGCGCCAUGGACGGUGGGUGGUUCCGGCGAUUCCGGCGAGCUCCGCCGCGUGCGCCGCCGCGGUGAUGAUGCUCCUCGUCGUCGCGUUCCACUCCCUCCUCGCGCCGCCCACCUCGAUCCCCGACGCGCCGCAGCGGAGCCGGAGCGCGACGGCUUCGUCUCUCAUGGUGAAGAGGAACAUUCCGAUCGAGCUCCAUAGGAGCCUAUUCGGCGCCGACUUGUUCAGCGUUCCGAGCGGAGGUAGCGCAUCUCAUGACCUCUGGGGUUCGAAGCUAUCAGAGUUUUUCCACGGGUGCAGCAACGCCAGUAGUGAGUUCCCAACAGCUGAAGCUGUAACCCACCCAAAUAGGUAUUUGAUGAUUGCAACCAGUGGAGGAUUGAAUCAACAACGAACAGGGAUCAUUGAUGCUGUUGUUGCAGCUCGUAUUCUGAACACAACUCUUGUUGUCCCUAAGUUGGACCAGAAAUCUUUCUGGAAGGAUGCUAGUGACUUUGCUGAGAUCUUUGAUGUUGACUGGUUCAUAUCAUCGCUUGCAAAAGAUGUUAAAAUUAUUAAACAGCUUCCCAAAAGGGAUGGGAAGAUUGUCGCCACUCCUUACAUAAUGCGCGUUCCUAGGAAGUGUACCCCAAAAUGCUACCAAAAUCGUGUCCUACCUCUCCUCCUGAAAAAGCACGUUGUUCAGCUGACAAAGUUUGACUACAGGCUUUCAAAUAAGUUGGAAACUAAUCUCCAAAAGCUGAGAUGUAGAGUCAAUUAUCAUGCUUUAAAAUUCACAGACCCAAUUCUAGAAAUGGGUGAGAAACUUAUCCAGAGGAUGAAGGCAAAAAGCCAGCACUUCAUGGCCCUUCACCUCAGAUUUGAGCCUGAUAUGCUUGCGUUCUCUGGAUGCUAUUAUGGAGGUGGAGAAAAGGAGAGGAAAGAGUUGGGUGCCAUUCGAAAGAGGUGGAAAACCUUACAUACAAGCAACCCUGAAAAGGAGCGAAGGCAUGGUAAAUGUCCUCUAACCCCUGAAGAGGUUGGUCUUAUGCUUAGGGCAUUAGGCUUUGGAGAUGAUGUUCACAUCUACGUGGCUUCCGGUGAAGUAUAUGGAGCAGAGGAGACAUUGGCUCCUCUAAAAGCACUUUUCCCCAACUUCCAUUCUAAGGAAACAUUAGCAAGCAAGGAGGAGUUAGCGCGCUUCUCAGCAUUUUCAUCUCGCAUGGCUGCUCUCGAUUUCAUCGUAUGUGAUGGCAGCGAUGUGUUUGUAACUAACAACAACGGAAACAUGGCAAGAAUAUUGGCUGGUCGGAGGAGAUAUUAUGGGCAUAAAAGGACCAUACGACCGAAUGCUAAAAAGCUUUACUCUUUAUUUAUGAACCGAACCAGCAUGACUUGGGAUGCAUUUGCAUCCAAAGUUAGUGCAUUUCAAAAGGGGUUCAUGGGAGAGCCCAAUGAGGUUAAACCUGGUAGAGGUGAAUUCCAUGAAAACCCUUUAGAAUGCAUAUGCGAACAUUCUCAGGUUUUACCAGAGUCUACUUCUCUUAGCCAGUCUGUUAUAAAUACCAAGAUUGGAAAGAGUCAUUUGAACAAGAGUAGGGGGCGUCCAUCAGAAUCUCGUUCUGGUGAUGAAGUCUUAGAUUGGAGGGAGCUGGAUUAUGGAGAAAAUACACCCCUGAAUGGCUUAUCCAAAGAAAAUGAAUCCGAGUACAAUCUAUUCACCAGACCUGAGGACGUAGAGCUGGAGGAAUUGAUCUCAGACUAGUCAACUUCUUUUGUUUUUUUUGUUUUUUUAUCAUGGCACUCCAAAAGCAUUGCUUCUCCAGAAAUUUUGGAACAGCUGCUGCAUUAGUUUCAUUGUUCUGGUGCUUUUUCCGGAGCCAAAAAGAAAGGAAAGAGUGUGCAGAGGAGAAAAAGGAGAAAUACUUUGAUGUAUAUGAAGAGUAGGUGACAGAAUUGUACGGUUUUGUUUGUCUGCCGAAAGCUGGAAGUAAAGCAGCAAACCUAGAGAAGAUCUUCUUUUUUGUGAAGGUUCGAUGUACAUUACUGAAGUUAGUUUCUUUGUUCUUUUUUCUUCGAAAAAUAUAUUCCUUGGGAUGAUUUUUCCUUGGGAUUCCUAAUAGUAUUUCUGUUUAAACCUCACCAUUUAGAGGUUGAUACCAAAUUGUUGGAAUAAGAUGGGGAAACCGUUAGUUCAAAUAAUUUUGGCGAGUAUAUAUAAGAUGAUUUGUUGUGCUA